GACGAACGCUGGCGGCGUGCUUAACACAUGCAAGUCGAGCGGUAAGGCCCUUUCGGGGGUACGACGAGCGGCGAACGGGUGAGUAACACGUGGGUGACCUGCCCUCAGCUCUGGGAUAAGCCUGGGAAACUGGGUCUAAUACUGGAUAUGACUCCACGGUGCAUGUCGUGGGGUGGAAAGCCUUGUGCGGCUGAGGACGGGCCCGCGGCCUAUCAGCUUGUUGGUGGGGUGAUGGCCUACCAAGGCGACGACGGGUAGCCGGCCUGAGAGGGCGACCGGCCACACUGGGACUGAGACACGGCCCAGACUCCUACGGGAGGCAGCAGUGGGGAAUCUUGCGCAAUGGGCGAAAGCCUGACGCAGCGACGCCGCGUGAGGGAUGACGGCCUGUGU
rnacentral:rRNA from 1 species